GGGUGGGGGAGGAGGUUGGCCCGCAGUGGACGCUCACGGCGCCUUUCUCUCUUACCCACUCCCCUCCGUCCCCUCCCGUGCCUCUGCCCCACUGAGCACACCCGCACACGCACGGGUGAGUAUAGCGCGCACAACAGCAGCACUGAUAGCGCUGGAAAAAAAAAGGGCUAAGCUCGGCGAUGCGCUUGUGAUGGGUCGUUUCUUUACUUCGCUUUGCUUGAAUGGCGUGCGGACGUCUGACAAUGUGCCGCUGCACGUGGUGGAUGCGCAGACGCUCUCGCUGAACGGGAAACUAGUGGCGGCCGACGAUGUGGUGGAGCUCGCCUUGCCGAGCAAGUUGGCGACCGCGAUAAUGUCAUCCAUGGCAGCAGCGCCGGCGUACGCCUACUCGAUAUUUUUCUUGUUAGGCUCUCAGGUGCAUCACGGACGACUCGGCGACGCCGUCGUCCACUACAUCAUCCGAAAUCAGGCCCGCCAUCGUUCGGCCCUUGAUGAGCGUCAGAUCGCCCUGCGGCCCGUCGUGACAGCACCCGAGGACCGGAAUGGUACCAACGCAGCUCCCCUGCAGUACGAAGAGUGUCUCCUCUUCGCCUACGACGGCGGCGCCACGGCGUGCGAGACCCUUCGCGCGAGCGACGCUGCCGAGACAGUCGAUGAGGUGCUUCGCACGCUGAGCGUCAUCUCGCUUGCCGUAUUCAAGUACAAGGGGAACAAGACGUGUGCGGUGCUUGUCGGCUCUCAUCUUUCCACGGCACACAUGGCCGCACUGUUGCUGGCAUCGCGCCGGCACGUCUUCCUAUAUAUGGAUGAGUCCAUGUCUGCCGAGGAGAUGCUGGCAACCACGGCCGAAAUGCAGCAGGUGCGAGAGUCUCUCUUUUCCUUUUCGACCCCCCUCGCAGUGGAUGCGGAGCGAGCACGGCGGACGGUCGGCAGCAGCAACGGCGGCGCGUCGCCUCUUCACAUGAGUUGUACGCUGAAUGCCCUGGCCCACACGGACGGGGAGUACGAAGUACUUCUAGCGGCGGUGUCGCGGGAGUGGGCCCAGCAGCAGGAACGGCGCUCGACGCAGCACCCACAUGGUGCGGCCACGGCUCCAGGCGAUGGUGAGGCUGGUUCUGUACCGCUGCCAGGGGCAUUCCAAAGAGAACUGGAGGAUGCGCGGGCCGCGCAACGUGACGCCGAAGACGCGCUGGCAGAUCAGCGCCGCGCGCAUCGCAAAGAGGUGCUGCUCCUCCGUGCGGAGCUCGAGAGCGCGCAGCGGAGCGGCGACGACACGGUCGUCUCGGAGGUGCCGAACGGGUCCACCGUGAACGGCAGAGCCGUAUCGCAAACCUUUUCGCAUUCCCUUCAGCAGCAGCAGCAGCACAGCCACCGCCACCACUCGAGUGAUGCCGAGUCGAGCGCCGUCGUAUCGCAGCUGCAAAAGGCUCUUCAGGACGCGCGCAAAGCACAGCAGUUCGCAGAGGAGAAGGCCCGCUUGUUGGAGCUGCGGCAGUCGCUGACGUCGGGCAGCAAAGGCGCACCCACGGGGGCAGGAGACGCCAGCGGCGCCGUUACCUCCCCGCGACCGUCUCUGCGUCUGCAGCCGUCCAGGGCGACCAGCAUCGCAGCGCUCAGCCCCUCCGCGGCCGCACCGCCCGCCUGGGAGCAGAACCUUCUCAAGCAAGAGAACGCGGCGCUCGUCGCGGAGUUCCAACGCAAAGAGAGGGGGUGGCAGCAGCAACUGCUCCAGGCUUCGGCUGAGGCGGCACAGCUGAAGCAAGAAAGAGCCACCAUGAAAGCCACGCUGCAGUUGCAGUCUCAGGCAAUCGCGGCCGCACAGCAGGCGCUCGUGGACAGCCGCGUAGCACAGGAGCAGGAGAUGAAGCAACUCCUGGAACGUGUGCGAGUGCUUUCCCAGGAGUCCCGCUCCCGGCGCCGUAGUCAGACCCAAUCCGCCGACACAGACAAGACGCGCGGCUCUCACGCAGGUGGUGAUGUGCCUGACGCAGGGGUGCUAUCGCCCCCAGUCCGUUUAUCUCGCCCACUACAGCGGCAAGCCACGCCGGAGCCGUCGCCUGUCGGCUCCCCCAGGCCGAAGACUACAGCGUCCAUCUGUGGCAUCAUGAGCCCGGAUCGCUGACGUCGUGAGGGCUGCGGCUUUCUCUCUGCGGUCGAGUCGCCACCGCAUGUCUUGCGCUCUUCUUCGGUGUAGAGAGUGGUGGUGAGGGGGGGCCAGAGGGCGAGUAUUCUGCGGCUACGUUGCCGCAUCUGCGGCACCUUCCAUGCGUCUGUGGCAUGAAUCAGCCGCCACGGGGGCACCGGCCCAUGUGCGUGCAAAUGAAGUUUCACCGCGCCCCACUCACUUCUACUCGUGUAUCAUUACCGUGCGUUCUCUAGUGUGCCAUGUGGGGUAGAUAAGGAAGGAGAGCCUCACGUACUCAUAGAUAUUUUUCAGGUCUGCUUCUGUGUAGGUGUGCGUAUGUGUGGUGUGUGUGUGUGUGUGUUCACACGAGACGUUGGGAAUGUCGGUGUAUGGGGGGUGAGGUGCAAAGCCAACCGACAAAACCAGCCGCGGCACGCACAUGAACGGAAGCGCACCGUUUUGCGGAAGAGGUCCAACUGGAGAAUUGCAAGCCGCUAGCAGGCCAUCAUAC
rnacentral:misc_RNA from 1 species